GACGAACGCUGGCGGCGUGCUUACACAUGCAAGUCGAACGGUAAGGCUCCAGCUUGCUGGGGUACACGAGUGGCGAACGGGUGAGUAACACGUGGGUGACCUGCCCUGCACUUCGGGAUAAGCCUGGGAAACUGGGUCUAAUACCGGAUAGGACCGCACCGUGAGGGUGUGGUGGAAAGUUUUUUCGGUGUGGGAUGGGCCCGCGGCCUAUCAGCUUGUUGGUGGGGUAAUGGCCUACCAAGGCGGCGACGGGUAGCCGGCCUGAGAGGGUGGACGGCCACAUUGGGACUGAGACACGGCCCAGACUCCUACGGGAGGCAGCAGUGGGGAAUAUUGCACAAUGGGCGGAAGCCUGAUGCAGCGACGCCGCGUGGGGGAUGACGGCCUUCGGGUUGUAAACUCCUUUCACCAUCGACGAAGGGUUUCUGACGGUAGAUGGGGAAGAAGCACCGGCUAACUACGUGCCAGCAGCCGCGGUAAUACGUAGGGUGCGAGCGUUGUCCGGAAUUACUGGGCGUAAAGAGCUCGUAGGUGGUUUGUCGCGUCGUCUGUGAAAUUCCGGGGCUUAACUCCGGGCGUGCAGGCGAUACGGGCAUAACUUGAGUACUGUAGGGGAGACUGGAAUUCCUGGUGUAGCGGUGAAAUGCGCAGAUAUCAGGAGGAACACCGGUGGCGAAGGCGGGUCUCUGGGCAGUAACUGACGCUGAGGAGCGAAAGCAUGGGGAGCGAACAGGAUUAGAUACCCUGGUAGUCCAUGCCGUAAACGGUGGGCGCUAGGUGUGGGUUUCCUUCCACGGGAUCCGUGCCGUAGCUAACGCAUUAAGUGCCCCGCCUGGGGAGUACGGCCGCAAGGCUAAAACUCAAAGGAAUUGACGGGGGCCCGCACAAGCGGCGGAGCAUGUGGAUUAAUUCGAUGCAACGCGAAGAACCUUACCUGGGCUUGACAUAUACAGGAUCGCGCCAGAGAUGGUGUUUCCCUUGUGGCUUGUAUACAGGUGGUGCAUGGUUGUCGUCAGCUCGUGUCGUGAGAUGUUGGGUUAAGUCCCGCAACGAGCGCAACCCUUGUCUUAUGUUGCCAGCACGUUGUGGUGGGGACUCGUAAGAAACUGCCGGGGUUAACUCGGAGGAAGAUGGGGAUGACGUCAAAUCAUCAUGCCCCUUAUGUCCAGGGCUUCACACAUGCUACAAUGGUCGGUACAGUGGGUUGCCAGUCCGUGAGGGCGAGCUAAUCCCGCAAAGCCGGUCUCAGUUCGGAUCGGGGUCUGCAACUCGACCCCGUGAAGUCGGAGUCGCUAGUAAUCGCAGAUCAGCAACGCUGCGGUGAAUACGAUCCCGGGCCU
rnacentral:rRNA from 1 species